GUGUAAUAUGAAAGAUUAGCACUCCCCUUGUUUGGGGUAGAUGGAGCCCCAGUGGCCUUACAAUAAACACAUAAAUGGUUAAGGCAUUGUCAUCUAAAGGCAGUACAGUGGCUCCGGUUUCCU